GAACAGAGACCUCGAUUGAUCCUCGCCCCUCAUAUCUCUGUCCCCAAAUCCUGAUCGCUAAAAUCAACUUCACUAGAGUAUAACCGCCAAAAAGUCCAAAAGGGUCUCUCAGGAAAAGAUUGCUUGCUUGUAUUAGCGGCGCAUGAGAAAGUAUGAAAAGGGGUUUGCUUUGUUGAAUCGGAGAAGAAAGGUAUAGAAGGCUGAGGUGAAAAAGCAUCAAAAUUCUCUCCCUCUUGAAAGAGGAGAAGAGAAGCGAAGAGAAAGAGAGCACACGCGGUGUUU
rnacentral:misc_RNA from 1 species